rnacentral:rRNA from 1 species
AGUGAACGCUGGCGGUAGGCCUAACACAUGCAAGUCGAACGGCAGCACAGUAAGAGCUUGCUCUUACGGGUGGCGAGUGGCGGACGGGUGAGGAAUACAUCGGAAUCUACUUUUUCGUGGGGGUUAAGGUAGGGAACUUUCGCCUAUUCCGCAAUCCACCUUACGGGGGAAACCAGGGGUCCUCGGGCCUUUGGCCGAUUAAAGAGCCGAUGUCGGAUUAGCUAGUUGGCGGGGUAAAGGCCCACCAAGGCGACGAUCCGUAGCUGGUCUGAGAGGAUGAUCAGCCACACUGGAACUGAGACACGGUCCAGACUCCUACGGGAGGCAGCAGUGGGGAAUAUUGGACAAUGGGCGCAAGCCUGAUCCAGCCAUACCGCGUGGGUGAAGAAGGCCUUCGGGUUGUAAAGCCCUUUUGUUGGGAAAGAAAAGCAGCAGGUUAAUACCCCGCUGUUCUGACGGUACCCAAAGAAUAAGCACCGGCUAACUUCGUG